GGCAGAGGCCUCAAGCGUUAGGCGGAAUCACUGGGCUUAAAGCGUGUGUAGGCGGAUCGUUAAGUGUCUUGUGAAAUCCCACGGCUCACCCGUGGAACGGCUGGGCAUACUGGCGAUCUUGGGCCAACUAGGGGCAACUGGAACAAGCGGUGGAGCGGUGAAAUGCGUAGAUAUCGCUUGGAACGCCGAAGGUGAAAACAGGUUGCUGGGGUUGUGCCGACGCUGAGACACGAAAGCCAGGGGAGCAAACGGG
rnacentral:rRNA from 1 species